CCUUUACAUGGAAUGAUGAUGUUCCCUUUCCUCAAGGGUGAUUGCAAGGCACUGAAAUUCUCAGCUCCAACCAAGAUUCUUAAUUCCAAGCUUGGCAACAUUACAAGAACAUAGAAGCGCAACAACCUCCGGGUGACUCUGUACAGAUGUGGGUAAUUAUUAAACCAGUAGCCACCAUAAUAGGCUCAUGUGACAACCACAUGCCUAUUCCCCUGGUACCAGAAGGAAGAGUCUAACCCAGAAAAUUUGACUCCUUGAGACACGGAUUCUCUGGCAACCCCCGGCAUGUGCGUGGUCUUGGCUCAUCCAAAGACCCCUUGUUGAUUUUGCAUCUGGACAUAGUGGGCCAACAUUGUAUGAUGUACAAGGUGUCAGUAAAGCCUGCAGGGGAUCCUUCGAUCCUAGCAAAAUGACAAGUCUCAUUGUUCCUGUGAGGGAGCAGACAAAGAGACCAGAGGAUUUAACUCUUUCAAGUGAAUGCUAUCCUACUUUGAGUUCUGCCUUGAGAGGUGAGCUUCCCUGAGCUACAUACAAUUGAAUAAAACUGUAUUAUUAGUAAAAGCCC